AUUGAACGCUGGCGGCAGGCCUAACACAUGCAAGUCGGACGGUAGCACAGAGGAGCUUGCUCCACAGGUGACGAGUGGCGGACGGGUGAGUAAUGUCUGGGGAUCUGCCCGAUAGAGGGGGAUAACCACUGGAAACGGUGGCUAAUACCGCAUAACGUCGCAAGACCAAAGAGGGGGACCUUCGGGCCUCUCACUAUCGGAUGAACCCAGAUGGGAUUAGCUAGUAGGCGGGGUAAUGGCCCACCUAGGCGACGAUCCCUAGCUGGUCUGAGAGGAUGACCAGCCACACUGGAACUGAGACACGGUCCAGACUCCUACGGGAGGCAGCAGUGGGGAAUAUUGCGCAAUGGGCGCAAGCCUGAUGCAGCCAUGCCGCGUGUAUGAAGAAGGCCUUCGGGUUGUAAAGUACUUUCGGCGGGGGAGGAAGGCGGCGCGGUUAAUAACCGCGCCGAUUGACGUUACCCGCAGAAGAAGCACCGGCUAACUCCGUGCCAGCCGCCGCGGUAAAAC
rnacentral:rRNA from 1 species